UACAGGGGGUGCAAACGUUGCUCGGAAUUAUUGGGCGUAAAGCGCGCGUAGGCGGCUACUUAAGUCGGAUGUGAAAGCCCCUGGCUCAACUGGGGGAGUGCACCCGAAACUGAGCAGCUAGAGUACGAAAGAGGGUCGCGGAAUUCCCGGUGUAGAGGUGAAAUUCGUAGAUAUCGGGAGGAACACCGGUGGCGAAGGCGGCGACCUGGGUCGAUACUGACGCUGAGGCGCGAAAGCGUGGGGAGCAAACAGG
rnacentral:rRNA from 1 species